CACGUAGGGCGCAAGCGUUGUCCGGAAUUAUUGGGCGUAAAGAGCUCGUAGGUGGUUUGUUACGUCUGCUGUGAAAACCUAGGGCUUAACCCUGGGCUUGCAGUGGAUACGGGCAGACUAGAGGUAGGUAGGGGAGAAUGGAAUUCCCGGUGUAGCGGUGAAAUGCGCAGAUAUCGGGAGGAACACCAGUAGCGAAGGCGGCUCGCUGGGCCAUUCCUGACGCUGAGACGCGAAAGCUAGGGGAGCGAACAGG
rnacentral:rRNA from 1 species